UACGGAGGGGACUAGCGUUGUUCGGAAUUACUGGGCGUAAAGCGCACGUAGGCGGAUUUGUAAGUCAGGGGUGAAAUCCCGGGGCUCAACCUCGGAACUGCCUUUGAUACUGCAAAUCUCGAGUCCGGAAGAGGUGAGUGGAAUUCCUAGUGUAGAGGUGAAAUGCGCAGAUAUCAGGAAGAACACCCGUGGCGAAGGCGGCUCUCUGGGACGGUACUGACGCUGAGACGCGAAAGCGUGGGGAGCGAACAGG
rnacentral:rRNA from 1 species